GUAGGGAAUAUUGGACAAUGGGCGAAAGCCUGAUCCAGCAAUGCCGCGUGAGUGAUGAAGGCCUUAGGGUUGUAAAGCUCUUUUACCAGGGAUGAUAAUGACAGUACCUGGAGAAUAAGCUCCGGCUAACUCCGUGCCAGCAGCCGCGGUAAUACGGAGGGAGCUAGCGUUGUUCGGAAUUACUGGGCGUAAAGCGCGCGUAGGCGGCGAUUUAAGUCAGAGGUGAAAGCCCGGGGCUCAACCCCGGAAUAGCCUUUGAGACUGGAUUGCUAGAAUCCUGGAGAGGUGAGUGGAAUUCCGAGUGUAGAGGUGAAAUUCGUAGAUAUCCGGAGGAACACCGGUGGCGAAGGCGGCCACCUGGACAGGUACUGACGCUGAGGCGCGAAAGCGUGGGGAGCAAACAGGAUUAGAAACCCGGGUAGUCC
rnacentral:rRNA from 1 species